rnacentral:lncRNA from 1 species
GUCACUGGGGUCGCACUCCAGGGCAGGCCCUGCCCUUUUCCGGCCCUCUGCUCAUCAAAACUUAGCCAUGGGGGUCUCACCUGCUCUCUGAGUCAGUUUCCCUACUCCUCUCUCUGCUUUCCCCACCCCUGCAUGUAGCCCUGGGGUACAAACUCAGGUGUGCAGUGAGCUGAGAAAGGAGCGCCCCCGAGUGCCCUGUGCAGCUGAUCACAAGCUGUCGGCUUCUCCCACCCUGGCUGGAAAGAGUCCCAGGGAGCCAGGCGGGCCCGUGGAGGGAGAAGAGCCGUGUGGACCCCUGCAAUGGGGCCGAGUCGGACACCUGCUGAGGGCAGUGAUCACACGCUGACUCUCAGAGCAGGGAGCAGGAACGGACAUAGAGAAAUGCUCGCCGAAGCUCCAGCCGGAGUGGGCAUUCAUGGUGGGAGGGCCCCACAUGGCACUGUGAGGUGGGCACUAAGGCCACCUCCAUUUUACAGGCAGAAAACUACGGCUGGCUAUGUGGUUAAGCAAGACCUGCGCCAGGGUGCCAUCGUCACGCGAAGAUGAAGGAUGCAGCGCCGGAGCUGACCCUCACGGAGCACACUCCACAGUGGCCGAGGCGAGGGCAUGAGUGCCUGGGCUCUGCUCACCAGCUGGCUGCAGAUGGGCCUCAGUUUCCUCAUCAAAGGGAACACGUACAGCAUUCACCAGGAAAUCCUGAGGAGCAGGGGUCCCUCUGCCCAGCAUGUUCUGGAACGUGUGAUUACUGCUCUAUAAAUGCUCUUCCAGAGGAUCAGAGGAGGCCUGGACAUCAUCAUUUCUUCUCAUGACAACAGGGAAAGGGCCAAACAAGACACCUUUCCGACAAGCCAUCCUGUCCCCAACCUGAGAUCCCUGUGAACACAGUCGUGCCCUCUGCUCAGAGCCAUUCUAGCUGAGGAAAUUGGCUCUGGUACAAAGACAGAAUCCAAAGGACCACAGAACAUCAUGUGUAGUAGGCACACAAUUAAUGCUGGAAACUCGGCUCCAUAGAACCUUGGUUAAGAUGCUGUUGUCCACAGCUCCCUAAGAGCAAAGGUGAGCGACAGGAUUUGGGUGGCGGAUGUGACCCUCCUGCAAGUGGGCUGCCGUGAAGGAAUGAGGCACGUCUCUGCUGGUGUGUCCAGUGUGUGCCGGAGUCCUUGGCUGAGGAGGGAGGGGCCUUGGCUGUGUGCCGGGAAGCUGCUCCCUCGUGUCUCUUGUGGUCUCCGGUCGGGGAACAGUGAGCGAGAGAUGAGCAUUCCGUGCAGCAGCCGCGGAUUGCCGGGUCCGGCUGCAUGGUGACG